rnacentral:rRNA from 1 species
CCUACGGGAGGCAGCAGUAGGGAAUCUUCCGCAAUGGACGAAAGUCUGACGGAGCAACGCCGCGUGAACGAUGAAGGCCUUCGGGUCGUAAAGUUCUGUUGUUAGGGAAGAACAAGUGCUAGUUAAAUAAGCUGGCACCUUGACGGUACCUAACCAGAAAGCCACGGCUAACUACGUGCCAGCAGCCGCGGUAAUACGUAGGUGGCAAGCGUUGUCCGGAAUUAUUGGGCGUAAAGCGCGCGCAGGCGGUUUCUUAAGUCUGAUGUGAAAGCCCCCGGGCUCAACCGGGGAGGGUCAUUGGAAACUGGGAAACUUGAGUGCAGAAGAGGAAAGUGGAAUUCCAAGUGUAGCGGUGAAAUGCGUAGAGAUUUGGAGGAACACCAGUGGCGAAGGCGACUUUCUGGUCUGUAACUGACGCUGAGGCGCGAAAGCGUGGGGAGCAAACAGGAUUAGAUACCCUGGUAGUCCACGCUGUAAACGAUGAGUGCUAAGUGUUAGAGGGUUUCCGCCCUUUAGUGCUGAAGUUAACGCAUUAAGCACUCCGCCUGGGGAGCGGUCGCAAGACUGAAACUNAAAGNGAUGCGNGNGAGAGNGCGACGACGACGAGAGGGAG